rnacentral:rRNA from 1 species
UACGGGGGGAGCAAGCGUUGUUCGGAUUUACUGGGCGUUAAGGGCGCGUAGGCGGUCGUGACAAGUCACUUGUGAAAUCUCCGGGCUUAACUCGGAACGGUCAAGUGAUACUGUCGGACUAGAGUACAGAAGGGGCAACUGGAAUUCUCGGUGUAGCGGUGAAAUGCGUAGAUAUCGAGAGGAACACCUGCGGCGAAGGCGGGUUGCUGGGCUGACACUGACGCUGAGGCGCGAAAGCUAGGGGAGCGAACGGG